rnacentral:rRNA from 1 species
UACGGAGGAUGCAAGCGUUAUCCGGAUUCAUUGGGUUUAAAGGGUGCGCAGGCGGAAUUAUAAGUCAGUGGUGAAAUCUCCCGGCUCAACCGGGAAACUGCCAUUGAUACUGUUAUUCUUGAGUAUAGUUGAAGUGGGCGGAAUGUGUCAUGUAGCGGUGAAAUGCUUAGAUAUGACACAGAACACCGAUAGCGAAGGCAGCUCACUAAGCUAUAACUGACGCUCAUGCACGAAAGCGUGGGGAUCAAACAGGAUUAGAUACCCUAGUAGU